GCUCAGGACGAACGCUGGCGGCAUGCCUAACACAUGCAAGUCGAACGAGAAAGUUCCUUCGGGAGCAAUUAAAGUGGCGCACGGGUGAGUAACGCGUAGACAAUCUGCCCUUCAGUCUGGGACAACUUUUCGAAAGGAGAGCUAAUACCGGAUAACAAUGCAUGACACAAGUUGUAUAUUUGAAAGCUUUAUGUGCUGAAGGAGGGGUCUGCGUCCCAUUAGCUAGUUGGUAAGGUAAAGGCUUACCAAGGCGACGAUGGGUAGCGGGUUUGAGAGGACGAUCCGCCACACUGGAACUGAGACACGGUCCAGACUCCUACGGGAGGCAGCAGUGGGGAAUAUUGCACAAUGGAGGAAACUCUGAUGCAGCAAUGUCGCGUGAGUGAAGAAGGCCCUUGGGUCGUAAAGCUCUUUUAUGGGGGAAGAUGAUGACGGUACCCCAAGAAUAAGCACCGGCUAACUAUGUGCCAGCAGCCGCGGUAAUACAUAGGGUGCGAGCGUUGUUCGGAAUUACUGGGCGUAAAGGGCGCGCAGGCGGAAUAGUAAGUCGGAGGUGAAAGCCCGGGGCUCAACCCCGGAGGGUCUUUCGAAACUACUAAUCUAGAGAGGGUCAGGGGCCGGCAGAAUUCCUGGUGUAGAGGUGAAAUUCGUAGAUAUCAGGAGGAAUACCGGUGGCGAAGGCGGCCGGCUGGGGCCACUCUGACGCUGAGGCGCGAAAGCGUGGGGAGCAAACAGGAUUAGAUACCCUGGUAGUCCACGCCGUAAACGAUGAGCACUGGACGUCCGGAGGGUUCGACCCUUCUGGGUGUCUCAGCUAACGCAUUAAGUGCUCCGCCUGGGGAGUACGGUCGCAAGACUAAAACU
rnacentral:rRNA from 1 species